rnacentral:rRNA from 1 species
GUUAUAUGGUCAAGUGAAGAAGCGCAUACGGUGGAUGCCUUGGCAGUCAGAGGCGAUGAAAGACGUGGUAGCCUGCGAAAAGCUUCGGGGAGUCGGCAAACAGACUUUGAUCCGGAGAUCUCUGAAUGGGGGAACCCACCUAGGAUAACCUAGGUAUCUUGUACUGAAUCCAUAGGUGCAAGAGGCGAACCAGGGGAACUGAAACAUCUAAGUACCCUGAGGAAAAGAAAUCAACCGAGAUUCCCUUAGUAGUGGCGAGCGAACGGGGAUUAGCCCUUAAGCUUCAUUGAUUUUAGCGGAACGCUCUGGAAAGUGCGGCCAUAGUGGGUGAUAGCCCCGUACGCGAAAGGAUCUUUGAAGUGAAAUCGAGUAGGACGGAGCACGAGAAACUUUGUCUGAACAUGGGGGGACCAUCCUCCAAGGCUAAAUACUACUGACUGACCGAUAGUGAACCAGUACCGUGAGGGAAAGGCGAAAAGAACCCCGGAGAGGGGAGUGAAAUAGAACCUGAAACCGUAUGCGUACAAGCAGUGGGAGCCUACUUGUUAGGUGACUGCGUACCUUUUGUAUAAUGGGUCAGCGACUUAUAUUCAGUGGCAAGCUUAACCGUAUAGGGUAGGCGUAGCGAAAGCGAGUCUUAAUAGGGCGUUUAGUCGCUGGGUAUAGACCCGAAACCGGGCGAUCUAUCCAUGAGCAGGUUGAAGGUUAGGUAACACUGACUGGAGGACCGAACCCACUCCCGUUGAAAAGGUAGGGGAUGACUUGUGGAUCGGAGUGAAAGGCUAAUCAAGCUCGGAGAUAGCUGGUUCUCCUCGAAAGCUAUUUAGGUAGCGCCUCAUGUAUCACUCUGGGGGGUAGAGCACUGUUUCGGCUAGGGGGUCAUCCCGACUUACCAAACCGAUGCAAACUCCGAAUACCCAGAAGUGCCGAGCAUGGGAGACACACGGCGGGUGCUAACGUCCGUCGUGAAAAGGGAAACAACCCAGACCGCCAGCUAAGGUCCCAAAGUUGUGGUUAAGUGGUAAACGAUGUGGGAAGGCUUAGACAGCUAGGAGGUUGGCUUAGAAGCAGCCAUCCUUUAAAGAAAGCGUAAUAGCUCACUAGUCGAGUCGGCCUGCGCGGAAGAUGUAACGGGGCUCAAACCACACACCGAAGCUGCGGGUGUCACGUAAGUGACGCGGUAGAGGAGCGUUCUGUAAGCCUGUGAAGGUGAGUUGAGAAGCUUGCUGGAGGUAUCAGAAGUGCGAAUGCUGACAUGAGUAACGACAAUGGGUGUGAAAAACAUCCACGCCGAAAGACCAAGGGUUCCUGCGCAACGUUAAUCGACGCAGGGUUAGUCGGUUCCUAAGGCGAGGCUGAAAAGCGUAGUCGAUGGGAAACAGGUUAAUAUUCCUGUACUUCUGGUUACUGCGAUGGAGGGACGGAGAAGGCUAGGCCAGCUUGGCGUUGGUUGUCCAAGUUUAAGGUGGUAGGCUGAAAUCUUAGGUAAAUCCGGGGUUUCAAGGCCGAGAGCUGAUGACGAGUCGUCUUUUAGAUGACGAAGUGGUUGAUGCCAUGCUUCCAAGAAAAGCUUCUAAGCUUCAGGUAACCAGGAACCGUACCCCAAACCGACACAGGUGGUCGGGUAGAGAAUACCAAGGCGCUUGAGAGAACUCGGGUGAAGGAACUAGGCAAAAUGGCACCGUAACUUCGGGAGAAGGUGCGCCGGCUAGGGUGAAGGAUUUACUCCGUAAGCUCUGGCUGGUCGAAGAUACCAGGCCGCUGCGACUGUUUAUUAAAAACACAGCACUCUGCAAACACGAAAGUGGACGUAUAGGGUGUGACGCCUGCCCGGUGCCGGAAGGUUAAUUGAUGGGGUUAGCGCAAGCGAAGCUCUUGAUCGAAGCCCCGGUAAACGGCGGCCGUAACUAUAACGGUCCUAAGGUAGCGAAAUUCCUUGUCGGGUAAGUUCCGACCUGCACGAAUGGCGUAACGAUGGCGGCGCUGUCUCCACCCGAGACUCAGUGAAAUUGAAAUCGCUGUGAAGAUGCAGUGUAUCCGCGGCUAGACGGAAAGACCCCGUGAACCUUUACUGUAGCUUUGCACUGGACUUUGAGCCUGCUUGUGUAGGAUAGGUGGGAGGCUUUGAAGCGUGGACGCCAGUUCGCGUGGAGCCAUCCUUGAAAUACCACCCUGGCAUGCUUGAGGUUCUAACUCUGGUCCGUGAUCCGGAUCGAGGACAGUGUAUGGUGGGCAGUUUGACUGGGGCGGUCUCCUCCUAAAGAGUAACGGAGGAGUACGAAGGUGCGCUCAGACCGGUCGGAAAUCGGUCGCAGAGUAUAAAGGCAAAAGCGCGCUUGACUGCGAGACAGACACGUCGAGCAGGUACGAAAGUAGGUCUUAGUGAUCCGGUGGUUCUGUAUGGAAGGGCCAUCGCUCAACGGAUAAAAGGUACUCCGGGGAUAACAGGCUGAUACCGCCCAAGAGUUCAUAUCGACGGCGGUGUUUGGCACCUCGAUGUCGGCUCAUCACAUCCUGGGGCUGAAGCCGGUCCCAAGGGUAUGGCUGUUCGCCAUUUAAAGUGGUACGCGAGCUGGGUUUAGAACGUCGUGAGACAGUUCGGUCCCUAUCUGCCGUGGACGUUUGAGAUUUGAGAGGGGCUGCUCCUAGUACGAGAGGACCGGAGUGGACGAACCUCUGGUGUUCCGGUUGUCACGCCAGUGGCAUUGCCGGGUAGCUAUGUUCGGAAAAGAUAACCGCUGAAAGCAUCUAAGCGGGAAACUUGCCUCAAGAUGAGAUCUCACUGGGAACUUGAUUCCCUGAAGGGCCGUCGAAGACUACGACGUUGAUAGGCUGGGUGUGUAAGCGUUGUGAGGCGUUGAGCUAACCAGUACUAAUUGCCCGUGAGGCUUGACCAUAUAACACCCAAACA